rnacentral:misc_RNA from 1 species
AUGAAUGGUCACUAAUGGCCUUCGACCCUUCAAAACCGUGGAGGCACAGCGUGCUUCGGCGCUUCGGCGCCGCCUUUAUGCCAUAGAGUUCGUGUCUGAACCUAAAAAAUAGUCUA